GACGAACGCUGGCGGCGUGCUUAACACAUGCAAGUCGAACGGAAAGGCCCUGCUUUUUUGGGGUGCUCGAGUGGCGAACGGGUGAGUAACACGUGAGUAACCUGCCCUUGACUUUGGGAUAACUUCAGGAAACUGGGGCUAAUACCGGAUAGGAGCUCCUGCUGCAUGGUGGGGGUUGGAAAGUUUCGGCGGUUGGGGAUGGACUCGCGGCUUAUCAGCUUGUUGGUGGGGUAGUGGCUUACCAAGGCUUUGACGGGUAGCCGGCCUGAGAGGGUGACCGGCCACAUUGGGACUGAGAUAGGGCCCAGACUCCUACGGGAGGCAGCAGUGGGGAAUAUUGCACAAUGGGCGGAAGUCUGAUGCAGCAACGCCGCGUGCGGGAUGACGGCCUGCGGGUUGUAAACCGCUUUCGCCUGUGACGAAGCGUGAGUGACGGUAAUGGGUAAAGAAGCACCGGCUAACUACGUG
rnacentral:rRNA from 1 species